rnacentral:rRNA from 1 species
AGUGAACGCUGGCGGUAGGCCUAACACAUGCAAGUCGAACGGCAGCACAGUAAGAGCUUGCUCUUACGGGUGGCGAGUGGCGGACGGGUGAGGAAUACAUCGGAAUCUACUUUUUCGUGGGGGAUAACGUAGGGAAACUUACGCUAAUACCGCAUACGGCCUACGGGUGAAAGCAGGGGAUCUUCGGACCUUGCGCGAUUGAAUGAGCCGAUGUCGGAUUAGCUAGUUGGCGGGGUAAGGGCCCACCAAGGCGACGAUCCGUAGCUGGUCUGAGAGGAUGAUCAGCCACACUGGAACUGAGACACGGUCCAGACUCCUACGGGAGGCAGCAGUGGGGAAUAUUGGACAAUGGGCGCAAGCCUGAUCCAGCCAUACCGCGUGGGUGAAGAAGGCCUUCGGGUUGUAAAGCCCUUUUGUUGGGAAAGAAAAGCAGCAGGUUAAUACCUCGCUGUUCUGACGGUACCCAAAGAAUAAGCACCGGCUAACUUCGUG